rnacentral:rRNA from 1 species
GUGGGGAAUUUUGGACAAUGGGCGAAAGCCUGAUCCAGCCAUGCCGCGUGCAGGAUGAAGGCCUUCGGGUUGUAAACUGCUUUUGUACGGAACGAAAAGACUCCUUCUAAUAAAGGGGGUCCAUGACGGUACCGUAAGAAUAAGCACCGGCUAACUACGUGCCAGCAGCCGCGGUAAUACGUAGGGUGCAAGCGUUAAUCGGAAUUACUGGGCGUAAAGCGUGCGCAGGCGGUUAUAUAAGACAGAUGUGAAAUCCCCGGGCUCAACCUGGGAACUGCAUUUGUGACUGUAUAGCUAGAGUACGGUAGAGGGGGAUGGAAUUCCGCGUGUAGCAGUGAAAUGCGUAGAUAUGCGGAGGAACACCGAUGGCGAAGGCAAUCCCCUGGACCUGUACUGACGCUCAUGCACGAAAGCGUGGGUAGCAAACAGGAUUAGAUACCCCAGUAGUCC